rnacentral:lncRNA from 1 species
UGGGGUAGGGGUUUUGAGGUUGUUUGUGUGCUGUUGUUCUGGUUGUUUAAUGGUGAUUUGGUGGUUGGUCUGGCAGUGAGGUUAAAGCUCGCCAACAAUGGCGAUUUGAAGAGGAAAACGGGAAAGGGGGCUGAUGGUUUCAGGUGGUAUUUUGGGUCGGAUUUGGUCGGGGUUUUCGUGUUGAUUUUCGCUGAUUUGGUUUGGGGUUUUGAUUUCACUGUUGUUUGCUAGUUUAAGCUGGCCGAAAAUGGAGUCUGGUUCGUGUGAGCUGCUGACCAGCUGGG